rnacentral:lncRNA from 1 species
UGCUGAGGUUGGCAGAGUCCUCUGAGUUCCUCUAACUUAAUCCCUGCCCAAGCAGGGACACCCAGAGCAGGGUGCCCAGGACAAAGUUCAGGCAGUUUUUGAAGUUCUUCAAGAAGGAGAUUCCACAGCCUCUCUGGGUAAUCUGUGCCAGUGCUCUAUCACCUGCAUAGACAGGGCCGGAUGUGGAGAAGGAAUCUUACAGUUCAUAAACAAGAUCAUAAAAGAACAACUUGCUUUGUUACCACUUCUACUGAGGCUGUGAAACACGAGUUACUGAAAAUACUACACUGCAGCUUGUGUCCAUGAGGCUCAGGAGAAUGAGAUGCUGUGCUGCAAACAACUCAGAAGCAGGAAAGGAGAAGAAGGAGGGGAGAAAAUGAGCUGCCUCAGUAAUAUACCUCCUCUGACAAAGCUGAAAGUGCCUGGCUAUUUCUCAGCAAAUGAAAAAAAGUCUAAAGGAAUGAGGACUUGUGUGGCCUCCCCCAACCAAAAAAAUAAAAAAAGAGGAAAUGAGGUCAUAAGAAUGGCUGAAUCAAAUGACCAUGAGACAGCUGUGUCCAAAUUUCUAUGUGGUAUUUAUAUAGUGAAUACAAAUGAGAAAUCUGAUUUGAAGGUGUGGAGAGCUCUGCUCCACUUAUGCAUGAAAGUCUCUUAUGAAAGUGUAUGCAAAAUUCAGAUGUGUGCCACUGGUUUUGGAGCUACAGAACAUGCAAUUUCCACCCCCGUGAUAAAUAUUCAUACCACUUAAUUGCACACAGAUAAUGACAUCUCCAAGUAUUGCUGCAGCAUCAUGUCUGCUUUCCUUUCUUAGUUGUUUCCUCAGAGGAUCAGUUCUGCUCUGCUUAGGACCAAAACCUGAGAGCAUUCCCACGGGGUUGUGCUGACAACACAGACAGUGGGGUAGUCACAAGUCUCUGGAAUAAGCUUUUCAUUAAGGUUCUUUAUCCUACAAAACAACCAAAAAGCAGUUGAGGUAGUACAGAGUUCACAGAGGCUAGUUUAUCAGGCUCCUAAGCAGACUAGCCAUGCAUCUAUAGCCUGUUUGUAUGACUCUCUCCACAAGUGCAGACAUAGCUUGCAAGGUCACAGAGAAUUCAGAAGUACAGGAACAGCAAAAGAGUAUGAAAAUUACAAAUAUAUUGUCAUGCUUAACAGGUUACAGUUGCUUUCAAACAGAAGGUAUCUCAAAGUUACCCACACCUUUUGCAAAUAAGCUCUUAAGGUGAAGUUUCAUUCAUUUCCAGUGAGGCUAGGGAGAGUAGACCAGUGUAACACUAGUGUGUGCAGGAGGGUCUUUCUAGGGCCUCACAGAUUUUAUCUAUAUUGGCAAGUAAUUCUGUGCAAUAGGAAGAGAUCAAUAAAUCAAAGCUUCCCCUUGUUCCUAGUUUAAUACAUUGCAAACCAAAUCCAAGUACAAGAAAGGAGCAACCAGGAGAUCUGUGCAGCAAUACAUUGCUGUUCCAAGCCAAGCUGUUGAUAUCAGCAUGGCCACACUUACUCUUACAGAGGACCUUAGAAAAUUAGAUCUUCAAAGUUUUACCUUAAAGGAGAUGAUAUGGAAAAGUCAUUCUUACCACUGACAAACCUAAACAUAAAACUCUGCUUUUCCACACAUCUUUCCCUUGCAGGUUUCAGUUCUGUCAGAGCACACAGCAUGUCAGACAAUUUUUGUUGUUGUUGUUGUUAAUCAUAUAAUACAGUCAGCUUUGUGGCAGGUAAAUGAAAUUUAGGCAUCUUUCUAUCUCCCUGUCAGUAUUUGGCCAUAAGAUUCUGCAUUAAAUUGUUCUUUGCUCCAAAGCUCGCCCAGAGCAACAGCACUCCAAGACUUCACUCAGCUCUUUGUUUUACAGCAGUUACAAUCAAACUGUUGUUCUUCGUGCUUUAAUGGAGAUCCUAGAAAAGGAGAUUUGAAAAAGAGGGUUAAGAACAGGUUUAUAAAACUUAAGUAUGUACCUAAUCUGUCUGGGAAAAUUCAUAAUUCACUUUGCACAUUUUUGAAGCUGUCUCCAGCCUUAAUAUCACAACAUCAUGCAAAGUCUGGAAGUAUGUGAUUAAUAGAUUUACCUAAUUAAAAACAAGCAAACAAAACAACAAACAAAAGUAAGUUUAUGUCUAAAACUGUCUGUUGGUGUGCCAAAUAUAUGCACAAAUAUAUACUGUAUUUUGUGUGUAUUUGUACAUUUAUAUGAAAACACACAUACAUAUAUAGAACUAUGUGUACAAUAAUUAAUAAAGC